rnacentral:miRNA from 1 species
UCUUUCUUUCCAUUCCUCUCACAUGCUCCUGGGCUACUUUUUUAUUCUUUUGGAUUGAGGAUUACUCAGGAGACUGCUGGGUGAUUCUCAAUCCAAAAGAAUAAAAAGUUAAAAUAAAAGCCCAGGAGCAUGUGAGAGGAAUGGAAAGAUAGG